rnacentral:rRNA from 1 species
GGCGAACGCUGGCGGCGUGCCUAAUACAUGCAAGUAGAACGCUGAAGGAGGAGCUUGCUUCUCUGGAUGAGUUGCGAACGGGUGAGUAACGCGUAGGUAACCUGCCUGGUAGCGGGGGAUAACUAUUGGAAACGAUAGCUAAUACCGCAUAAUAGUAGAUGUUGCAUGACAUUUGCUUAAAAGGUGCAAUUGCAUCACUACCAGAUGGACCUGCGUUGUAUUAGCUAGUUGGUGAGGUAACGGCUCACCAAGGCGACGAUACAUAGCCGACCUGAGAGGGUGAUCGGCCACACUGGGACUGAGACACGGCCCAGACUCCUACGGGAGGCAGCAGUAGGGAAUCUUCGGCAAUGGACGGAAGUCUGACCGAGCAACGCCGCGUGAGUGAAGAAGGGUUUCGGAUCGUAAAGCUCUGUUGUAAGAGAAGAACGAGUGUGAGAGUGGAAAGUUCACACUGUGACGGUAUCUUAACAGAAAGGGACGGCUAACUACGUG